ACCUUAUGCACUUUAUUAGUUCUAGCUAACUAGCUAGUAUAGUAUGCAUGUCCAGCUAGCUAGCCUACAUCCUUUAUACUCUUAGUAGCUAGACUUGGCUAUUGUCUAGCAUCUCUUAAUUAAGUCAGUGAGUCUACAUGCAUGCAGAUGCAUAAGUAACAAGGUUGGUGGCAAAAUUGUUGUAACCUCAGACUAGCGGUAGUUUUUUCAAAAGGGGGGGGGCUUCAGCCCCUCAAAAUCACCCCUGGAUCCGCCCCUGACUGCAGCAUGUAGACUAGAUCUACUGUUGAUUGAAGCAUAGAUAGUAGAAGAAGUAAGGGAGUAGUCUCUCGAAACAUGUCUGUCGAUUCCUCUACUAUAUAUCUAUAAUUGAAGCAACAAUUUAAGAAAGGUAUGGAACAGCUGGUCCAGGUCUCCUUGGUGUCGUCCUUUCACUCCCUACACAAAGUACAAGUGUUUAAACAUUCUCGGUAUGGCUCCGUUGGUAUCAGGUAAACCUGAAAAUGCAUUCGUUGGUCCAUUAAAGUUCCUAUUUCAGUGGGUGGACCAACGGGCUGGAUAACAAGCAAGAAAAUAGUUUACUUACAUUGUACUUUGCAUGCAUUCUUUUUUAUAGCCGUAUCCGAGCUCAUUUAAAAGCUUGAUGUCUUCGUUGGCAUCAGGAAAACCUGCUCGUUAGUCCAUACAGGAGGCCGUUUCUGGAAACUAACGGCCUGGACGACAAGUUCCCCAGUUUGAUUAUGAGCUCAUUUCAAAGCUUGGUGUCUCCGUUGGCAUCAUUAUAAACUGGAAAUCCUGCUUGUUGGUCUAUGAGGUUUCCUGUUUCUGGAAACUGGAUAGACCAACGGCCUGGACGACAAGUAAAAAAAUAGUUCGCGCACUUUGAAUGUAUUCUUUUAAUGUGUUCUCCAGUUUGGUGUGAUUAUGAGCUCAUUUCAAAGCUUGGUGUCUCCGUUGCAUCAUUAUAAACUGGAAAUCCUGCUUGUUGGUCUAUGAGGUUUCCUGUUUCUGGAAACUGGAUAGACCAACGGCCUGGACGAAUAGUUCGCACACUUAGAAUUUAUUCUUUUUAAUGUGUUCUCCAGUUUGGUGUGAGCAAGCUUGCAUGGUGUCUCCGUUGGCAUCAUUAAACUGGAAAACCUGCUCGUUGGUCCAUAUAAGGUUUCAUGUUUCUGGAAACUGGGUGGACAAUUAAUGGCCUGAACGACAAGUAAGAAAAUAGUUCACGCACUUUCUUUUAAUGUGUUCCAGGUUGGUGUGAGCUUCAAAGCUUGCAUGGUGUCUCCGUUGGCAUCUUUAAACUAGAAAACCUGCUCGUUGGUCCAUAAGAUUUCCUGCUUCUGGAAACUAGGUGGACCAACGGCCUGGACGACAAGUAAGAAAUAGUUCACGCAGCUUGAAUGCAAUGUGUUCCAGGUUGGUGUCAGCUCAUUUCAAAGCUUAGUGUCUCUUGUUUGCAUCAAUUAAGGAAACUAGGUGGACCAACGGCCUGGACGACAAUUGGUUGUCAGAGCUUGGUGGCUCUCCGUUGGCAUCAUGCAGUUAUACUAAUAAACCUGGACGUUGGCCCAUAACCUUUUCUAUUUUGGAAACUGGGUGGACCAACGGCCUGGACGACACUGACAGAAUAUCAUAUCCAGCCGGAAAUUGGAUAGACAACAGCCUAUACGACAGCUGCAUCUACAGACUCUAUUAUACAUCAGACUGAAUGAAAGCCUCACUGCGACUCUGUAUGCUGAAAUCUACAAUGACAUUUAAGGAUUCUGUUUCCGUGUAGAGUAAGAGGCUGGCACUGGAUUCUUGUUGCUGUCAAUCUCCCAAAGAAAACUGUCUAUGUUCUUGACUCCCAGUCGCCAAUUCUCUCACCUUUUACGUACUGAGCAGGCAACAUGCAUGCACAAGACAUUAAUCAAUUCUUAAGCAUGUGCAUUCGAUCACCUGCAAAGAUGGAUAUACAGUGUGUGAAGGUGGCCGCUCAGGAUGGAGUUGAAUGUGGCAUUCAUGUGAUACAUAAUAAUUAUUAUGACAAUGGUCAAGUUUUCUGGACUACCUGCAUCAAAGCACCUGCAAAAGUCUGUAAACACUGCUGAAUUACGUGGAUUGAUCCUGUUAUCAUGCUACUCCACUCAACAAAGCCAAAAGACAUCUCACGGCGUCAGAAGGAGUAAAAGGGUUGCUAAUACAGAUCUGCAGUGACGAUUUGAUUCUCUUCAAGCAUGAAUUGCUUUGCUCUACCAUCUGGCUGUUCAAGGCAUCAUUAUUGUCUAUAGGUGCUCAUUUUGUAAGCAACACUGCAUCCUGUAUGAUAUAUAAGUGCAUGGUAAUUAAAAUCAUAUAAUUAUACUUAACAUACAAUUAUUAUAAUUAUACCUGAAUGAUUUGGCCAAUGGAAACGAUCUACUAGACCUAGAAACCGACUGUGCCUGAAAAAGGGGGGCUCUCUAUUCAAGCAGUAUUGGUGCAGGUUGCAACUAUUGUUGUAUAUGAUGACUUCAGGUGCUGCAGAUACAAGGGCAUAUAAUUAUAUUAUGCAAUUGCAUGCCGGAAGAGUUUAAAAAUAAUCAUCCCGAUAUAUAUAGCAUUUAUACCUGAUGAGAAUCGUUCAUAUAAGAUAGUAAAAGGAAUGUUGGGGAAUUCCUGAACUUCCAUCAGUUGGAAUCCAUAGCAAAUUCCUAUACAAUAUUGAUGCAAAUUAAUGUACCAUAAUUAUUACUAGAAUGUUUUGCGAGCAUCAAACAUUUGCGAAUUUUGCGAGGGUUGAUCAAUAAAAUCCGCAAAACCUAAAUUAUUACUAGUAAAUACUUGCCAGAACACAAUAGUUAGAUCGCAAAGGGUCAAAUUUUCUGCUGAUUUGGCUCAUUCGCAAAGGUUUUUCACCUGCAAAAUAUUCUAGUAAUACGGUAUGAGGCGUAAUAAUUAUAAUUAUCAUGCAUGCAGCAUUACCAUGCUGACAAUACAGAGUAAAUACCCCGGUAGCAGUGAUGGAUGUCUUAAUUGAGCUUUUUUUUGUACAUACAGAGGAUUUAAAACUGUCAGCCUUAUAAAUCUUUCGUUUUCUUAGUGAAGGAAGCUUUGGAAAGUACGAUAUCAUAUCAUCAUCAUUAAUGUCAGUGUGGUCACCAGUACUAGACUCUGUGAAGUCUUGCGUAAAUGGGGCUAAUGAUAAUUCCACAAGCCUUUUUAGUAUAGGCUGCAAUGCUUCAGUGGGGUAAGAAGGAAGACAUUCAAUUAAAGUGAACAGUACUGGAGCUUCCUUUUGUAGAAAGGCCAUCUUUUUUGCAUUUGACUUCAAGGAGCCAGAAGACUCCAUUUCCUUUAGCAUUUUGUGCACUUCUUCUGUAGGUGGUACCAAAGCACACACAGGUGAUGCUGAACUGAGAGCUUGCAGUAAAUUAAUCCAGUGCUUGCAACAGGAGACAGCUGUAUCAGCCUCGUUGACUUCUUUAGCUAUUGUGGUGAUAAGUUUGACCAAACUUGGUGCGUGCAAAUGUAGUAAUUCUAGAAGAGAAGUGAAUUCAUGCUGGCUUAUACACUUCUUUGUAGUAAACAUCUUCAGCUGCGUGCGUGUUGUCUUGUUGUUGAUGUAUAUCCCAUCAUGGAAACUAGUGUUGAAAGAAAAUAAAUACAGUAACUUUUCAGCUGUCCGCAUGAUCCUAAACUUAUCACAACAAUAAUUGCUGAAUAAGUAAAACAGCUUUCGCCACACUGUAUAUAUGAUUACUAUGAUGAGAGGCACCUUCUACAAAUGGAUUCAAGUUUUGAAUAAAUCUGUGCAUGCAUGCUUGGCAAGGUAUUUAUUUUGUCUUAGCUCAGGGAGGACUAUCAUUAUAUAUAUAAUCAUUAUAUACAGUGGUUGAUGACAUGGGAAAAUUUGCACUUAUCUUCCAGUACAGCUGAUAGGGGAUGAGGUUUUAUGAACUCCAGAACCGUUGAGUUGGGACUUCCAGGGCAUAAGGUCUUUUCUGCAUGAAUGCUAAACAAGUAGCAUCCAUGACAACAAUGGGUGGACAAUCUCCACACGCAGUGCACUGAAAUCCUACUUGAUAAUCAAUGUCUAACAGGUCAAGAAAGGCAUACCACGACAACCGAUAGUGAUUGUAUGUAAACAUAUACUUAUUAAACUGAUUGCCGAAUCCUGCAUCUUCAUGGUUUUUAACCAACACACAAUACUGGGUAUAUAUAGUUGUUCUGAAGAGGAAAUGUAUCGUUAAUAGUCAAAGUGCACACACAUGCAACAUUAAUUACCUUCCCAAAAGGAAUUGAUGCAUAAAACCUCGCAUAACUUCAUAGGAUACCAGGAACUUGCCCAUAGUCACUAAUCCUACUAGUUGGCCAUCAAAUUCUUUACGUUUCUUACAUCCUGAGCAAUACCUAACAUGCACUGUUUGGUCAAUAUAAUAAUUGUUAUGGAUUUAUACUUCUAAAGCCACCUACCAUUCGCAUUGAUAACUGUAUUGAGCAGUAUAAUUUUGCUCCGUACAGAUUCCUGCUUGUCUUCUUCAUCUCGUGUAAGCGUACUGCACACUUUACAAUAUGUGUCAACUGAGCCCAAAAUAGAAGUGUUGUUUACAAUGUUGAAGCGAUCAGCUACAGUACAUGCCAGUUGUUGAGACAAUUCACUUGAUAAAUUGAACGGUAUAUAUACUGCUUGAUGAAAUUAAGGGACCGAUACUGAUGCACAUGCACUUGUCUAUUCUGCUGCACACUAGACAGAUCUUUUGCAAUUUUAUUGAGGCAGUCAUGUUUAUCCUCAUCCGAGCUAUUCAAUGCUUUCUCGACAAUGUCCACAUGUGAACUGUGCUGUUUAUUGUACUUGCAUGUACAACAGUACAGACCCCUUAAUUGUUUAUCAUCAAUACGAACUUGUACAACACCAUGGCCACUAUAUCAGCUCUUGUACAUACCGCCUGCCCAAUAGAGCAUACAACCUGUAAAUCAUUAUAAUUAUAUAGUUGUGAUUGGAGACGUACAUGCAUGCACAAUAGUGUCCAACUUACCUCUGUGCCAACAUUUAUACUGUAGGAGGUGUCCUCCUUGUGAGGUUCGAUAUUCAAAGUAUACGAAUGAUCUGAAUGGGUAUGAGGAUAAUUCAUAAAUAUUAGCUGUGCAUGCACUUUUAGAAGACAUGUACCUGAUAAUUCUUGAGCUGAUGUAAUGUUGUGAAUAUUGUCAGUCUCUUGGAUAAUCAGUCUAGUUGGUUCGAUGUGGAUACAUUCAGAGCCAACAAUGCUUGUGAAUGCAUCAUAUGUGGAAUCAACCGAAGUGGAGCAGCUAUUUAGUAAGUGGCCACGUGCACUAUCACAACUGCACCAGUAUACCCACUGUAUACCAUCACUGAAGUGCAACCCACAGCGUGAGACGAAAAGAAACUCCAUGCUCAGUGAAGUUAAUAGAUCAACAGACCAACCUACAUGAAUAUAAUUAUACUUCAUCUCUCUAUAAUUAUAUUAUAUGCAUGCAAUUAUACGCACGAAAAAGAUAAUAUACUUACAUUCAAAGAGGAAUCGAUUCUAUUGAUUCCCUGUAUAACAAACGACCGGAGAGAGUUGUCCAAUGAGUUGAGAGCACGCUGUUCAUGUACACUGAUGAGAUAUGCAGACAGCAAUGGCACUGGAAUUCCAGACGGCUUUGUUUCUGACUUUGAAACAUUAUCCUGCAAUGGCAUGAUUGUAGAGAUUUAAUGUUUGAGUUUGUACGAUUACCUGUACUUUGUAUCCGGCUUGACUUAGUGUCAUAUCAUCAAAAGGCUCAUUAUGGCCCUCUUGGUCACUCCUGAAUUGAGUUGACACGAUUCCCUUUCCCUGAACAACUCGGUGCAUUUUCUUGAUCUGACCUACAAAUUGAACGAUAUAAUACACACUUGGGAUUAAUUUACUUCUUCGUGAUCACUUAGCGAUAGGUUGUGGAUGGUACCGUAUAUUGGAGGAUAGUUCUUUCUAUUGCAAACUGCGAAUGCAUAAUUCGCAAUCGAAAUAAACGCAAAGAAAGAGCAUGCGCAUGCAUUUCGCAAUAGCAAUCAGGCUUGUACAUCAAUAUCGAAUACCCCGCAUUCAUACCCAUAUAGAUUUAUACUAAUUAUGCUUUAAUUCUCUUACUAUAGGGUAGUGUUUCCUCUUCUUCUUUAACUUGUUUGAGCAAAAUGAAUAUUUAUCUUCGUUAGCCUCUCGAAUCUGUUUCCAUGAGUGGCUUAUAACUGGAUCAUAUAGGCCUUCUAUAAUUGAUGACGUGUUUUAUUGCCACGAGUGCAUUUGUACAUAGCACAUGCACAAUGAUAUAGCUAUACAUUAUUAUAGCGACUCACUACAUCAGUGUUGCAGAUGUUGCAUGAAUGAAUAGGAAUCACCCAUGCAGUGAUACCCAACCAAUUAUACUGAUUACUCAUAUACAUGUCAUUGGAUACAAUAAUUAUAUAUAUAUAUAUAUAGAUAUACAUGGGUAUAUAUAAUAUACCCAUGCACGGCAAAUAUCGUCAUGGUCAAUGUUGCUAGAUUAAGAAAACCGAUUCAGGAUCAUAGGCCUUCUAUAAUGAUGACGAUAUGAUUGAUGGAUGUUAUAGAGGUCCGGGAUAAUUAUAUUAAUUUUAUUGUUCACCCAAAAAUAGCAAUAUAAUUAUAUAGAUAGGAGAAGUAUCAAUUUCAGCCCCAGUACGCCCCGUGUACGUAUGUCGGGGUUUAGUGUGGAUUUGCAUGAUCAAUAUCCUGGGAGCCUGGGUGAAAUCAAAUCGCCUCUUUCCCUCCCAUAUACCCCCACUUCAUAACCUCGGGAUUUGACUAUACACGCGUGCAUGUGCUAUACACUUUUCUCCAUGGAUAUUGCUGUUGUAAGUUUGUAUACUAAGGAACUCAAAUUCUCACCCUAUAUCACGCACCUCAGGGUUACCAAAACCCCACUAUGUCCUACAGGGGGAGGGCAGUGGGGACUGACAUGGAUCGGUGCAUAAUUCACUUGUGCAUGGUAUCACUAUUUUUUUAUAUAUAUAGAUCUAGACUGAGGCUCAGUAUCACUGUUGCUCACCGAGAAUUCAAAGUCAUCUUGUUCAUUGCCUGUGGCAGCCUGCUCUUCAUUAGAAUCAGUCAUUAUACAGCCUAAGUCUAGAUCUAUAGAAUUAACAGAAAGAUCAGAGUUCAUUAGAUGUCAUAAUCAGCACCGCAGCCAGGUUUAAAUCAACCACAUCAAAUAGCAAAGUUUAUGCAACAACACCCACACACACAUAUUCAAAAGAUGGAGCUGUUGAAUGAUGUCUAACCACAGGAUGUCAGGUCCCACACUGAGGCAGCAUGCACUGUAUGUAAUAGUAGUCAACAACUGGAGAAACAUAAUUAUUUUCUUACCUGCAUGGAUUGGUCCAUCGAAUUUCCAGGAAUAAUUUUUAUGAUAUACUUAUACGAUGGGGCCCCAUGCAGUUAUCUCGUUUAAUUGAUGCCAAUGUAGCCACCAAACUUGGAAAGUUGAAACCAACACAAUAAAUGCAAGCUGCAUAAAAACUCUUUUCUUACCCCUGUUGUCUGUUGGUCUACCCAAUUUUUAGAAACUGGAAACUUUAAUAGAUCAACAAGCAGGUUUUCAAUGCUAUAAAGGAGCCACCAAACAUUGAAAUGAGUAUACAUGAAAUCAAGCUGCGUGAACUAUUUCUUGCUUGUCGUCCAAGGACGUUGGUCCAUCCAGUUUCCAUAAACAGGUAACCUUAUGGACCAACGAGCAGGUUUUCCAGUUUAAUGAUGCCAAAGGAGACACCAAGCUUUGAAAUGAGCUCAAACACAUUAAAUUAUGCAUUCAAGCUGCGUGAACUAUUUUCUCACUUGUCGUUCAGGUCGUUGGUCCACCUAGUUUCCAGAAAUAGGAAACCUUAUGGACCAACAAGCAGGUUUUGAUGCCAACGGAGAUACUAAGCUUUGAAACAAGCUGACACCAAUCUGAUACCAACAUGGAACACAUUAAAUAAUGCAUUCAAGCUGCGUGAACUAUUUUCUUACUUGUCGUCCAGGCCGUUGGUCCACCUAAUUUCCAGAAAAAGGAAACCUUAUGGACCAACAAGCAAGUUUUCUUUUAAUUGAUGCCAAUGGAGACACUAAACUUUGAAAAAUGAGCUGUGACACCAGCCUGGAACACAUUAUUCAAGCUGCGUGACUAUUUUCUUACUUGCCGUCCAGGUCGUUGGUCCACCUAGUUUCCAGAAACAGCCUCCUAUGGACCAACAAGCAGGUUUUCCUGAUGCCAACGAACCCCUGCAAGCUUUGAAAUGAGCUGCCCACCUAGAACACUUUAUGCAAGCUGGGUGAAUUCUUUUACCAGUCGUCCAGGCAGUUGGUCCAUGCACCUAAUUUUAAUAGGCCCCUUAAUGGACCAACCAGCAGGUUUUAAUGAUGCCUGGAGCAAAUGCAAUCAAGCAAGUGUAACAUGCAACACUGUUUGCUGUAGAUCCUGUGAACAGAAGUUUGCAAUGAAACGGAUAAAGAAACUGGCAAACUGUAGGGCAACCCGGUAGAACCAGACAUGCAUUAAAAAUUAAAAUGUGCAUGCAGCCUUCCAUAUCCUUUUGCUUCAAGACAUAGUACAUGCUGCAGGGGGUACUUUAUAUAACCAUAUUUCUGUGCUCUAUUAUCUAUGAUAUAACUAGUCUAUAUAUCUCUAGCUAGCUGUGUGUGGUAUCAGCUUGUUGUGUGAGCCCCACCCACCAUGCAAGCUCUCAAGCCUCUAUGACGUAAUCUACCGUUGGUCCAUUUAUCAGAGUCCAUUGCCACAUUCUGGAAAGUGUAAUACCUCGUUAUUAUCGCCUUUCCAAUGCAAAGGACUUCUUUUGUAUAGCUUGUUUUAAACAAGUGGAGAGAGGCUUCAAGGCAGCUCACAUUUCAAAGAGUUUUACUAGAUCAAUCAGUAAUAGCUUGGCAGUUCCUACUAGAUACGUCCUCUGCAAUCGGUCCUCAACUUUAGGCUCAAGUCGUGGCAAAACCACAGAAAUAGUAGUACAAGCAAGGCACAGUCUAUUUGCAGCAACUUCUAGCAGCCCAAAGGUUCAGGUUGCCGUUGCACAUCAGGGCUGUCUUAAACCAAGACGUUUUUCCGUACCAGGUCGUUUUAAGAAAAUAGUUGAAUCAACAAGAUUCAAGAGCAGUCCCUACACAGCACGUACUGUAUUACGUUCCCGUUCUUUUAGGAAACCUGUUCUUAUGGGUACAAAAGAAUUAAUCAAGAAUGUAAAGUUAUUAGCAAAAGAACAUCCGCUCGAGCCAUGUUUAGAUUGAAGUCCAUGAAGUCACUAAAAUCUUUCAGGAUGAGACUACUGGUGAAGUUGUUUAAAAAGAAAGCACCUUACCUGUCAAGGUCCCUCCAAGUGGGAAGUCAAGUGCUAUGAAAAUGGUGGCUACUGCCGGAUCAAUUUUAUUGAAAGCAAGAAACAAAGACCUGCAUGUGUUCUCUCCAGGCUGUUAUUUCAAUGAUUAUGUACGCAGGUCACUGCUGACCUUUACAAGGCUAAACCAACUGGGGAUAUGUUUUUAGCCAUUGUCGCUCUAUUGAAUUGGUGAAGGAGUUGAGAAUUGAUCAUGAUGAACAAGUAUUACAAUGGAAGCAAAAAUUGGAAGAGGUCAUUCAUCCAAGUAGCACUGUACCACAACGGGGUGAUGAUGAUUCAAGUAGCAUUACUACCCAAGAAAAUAGCUCUCAGGAAAAAACUGAAUCUUCAUCUGCUUUUACUUUCUCAAGUAGCAGUUGUACAUCUGGCUCCUCCAGUCCUGUAAAUACACACGUUAUCCCCAACAAGCCCACAUUCAUCAUUAUAAUUCUGGAGACAAUCUGGACAAAACAAUUAAUCCUCGAUUUAUGACAUCCAAACAUCAGCGUAAAUCCCUCCACUUUUUCCACUCUUUUGCAGUUUUAGAUAGGGUUGAGUGUAGCCAUCUGGAACCUAUUGGAGAUCUAAUGUCGUUACCUGCAACUGCAU